GUGGACAAUCCAGCUGACAGGACAGACCUUCAGACACUUCGAAGGCAAAAGCAAUGAGUAGCUGUAACACAUCUGAUUGAUAGCUUUACGUCUGUGCAUACAUCCACAUAAUAAUAUGAAACCGUUUCAAGUGAAUAUAAUAUCCAACCAAUGAAAGCACAAGCAGCUUCAACAAAUGUUCACAAUAUUAUUUUCAAGAUUUUAAGACUUGUCCAUAUACCUGAAUUCAAUUUCUGACUUACUCUCUGACAAAUCUAAAAGAGCAUAUUCCAGAAAGAUCCAAUGUUAGUAAAUUAAAGAAAAGAAAAAGGGAAACAUAACCUCCAGCAACGUUUUAUGAUGAUGAAUUGUAAGCUGGUGUUUUGAUUUAUACCUCGAUAGAGAUUUAAUUGCCUGACACCAAGAAAACCUGUCUGUCGUGCUGUGCAGGUGUUUAUCUGGAAUGACUAGAUUGCUGUGGAGAUUUUCAGGUAACUUACCCAUUUGGUUUUAUUUGCAGGCUUGAUGGGUGAAGAUGUUGCCUUUUGGUUCUCACGUUGUGUCUCUUCUCGGGUGCUAAAGGAGAGUAGGUUUGGUUAGGACGUUGCGGUUAGGGGACCUCCUUGCACCUUCUUCUCAAGAAUUGGGGCCUUUCAUAGAACCAGGCGUAGAAUUACAAAUGCAGGACCACGGUGGCAUUGAGUCAGCUUUUCAUCAUGUGCCUCCCUACCCGUUCAGCAAGUGCUCCCUGGCUAGUCUGAAGGCUGGUCCAGUCACUGGCACUUCACCAAAAUGAGACCGCUGGCUUUACCUGCAGUCUGAGGGCAAAGCAGUGCUAGAGCCACCCACUUCACACCUUUGGACAACACCAGCUCCCCGCCCACCUCUUUGCUGCAAUCAAAAUCACAGUUUAUGGGAAGUAUUUUAUGGGAAGACUGUUUGAAGACAAAAGUGCCUUGACAAGGAAGAAAGCAAAAACCACUCAAAGGCCAGACGAAGGGGUAUCUGAGUAUUUGCAGCUCGUACACACCUUGGGCAAUAGCAAAAGCUGGGGGUGAGAUGGCAGAUGGGCUGCAAAGUUAUUCUAAUGCGCUUUCCCUGAAUCAUCACAUGGGCAACAAUCUGUCUCCCCACAGAGCUAUGCUCCCUUGUGCCCUUGUCUGUACAGGGGAGUCAUCGCCUGCUCCAUUGGAAACGCAGUAUUUUUGUAAAUGCAUUACUCACUGACAAAAUUACUUUUAUGUCUUGCUGCUAGUCAUUGGGCCCAGCUCUGAAAACAGCAGUUCUUCUAAAAGACGUGUGUCUGUUCAUCUGCCUUCCUUAUUCCCAGUGAGAAUCCAAAGGGCGCAUUAAAUAUAACCUCAGACUCUGGUACAGAAAUAAAUCAUGUAACAUGUAACAUGACCUGCAUGUCAGUUAAGUAAGUCGCAUUGCAAUUUCUAUUGCACUGAUUCGUGUUAGAAAGUAUUUUCCUUUUAUUGAAAAGACUCUGCAAAUGCAAACUCCACGAAGAAAAAGAGCACAAAGCACGAGUACCGGCCAAGUCCUGCUGAGACUCUCUGCAGCCCACGGGUGACAGACGAGAUCUUUGCUGUUGCGUCCUGUGCCUCGCCAGGGCUGUGGUUUCCCCCCACCAGCAGCUCUCAUAGGGAUCUGCUAUACAGUGCCACAGGAGCCAAAGGUUGGAAAACCCAUUUUUAAAUGCCCUGCUCCAGUUUGGUCUCUGAGGGAAACCCCCAGGGUGGUGCUGGAGUAGUGCUGCCCACAGGCAGUACUGCUGCCCGCAGGCAGCAGUAGUUCAGGUAUCUGGGUUCCCAGAUAUCCCACUCUCAGACAAUUCUGCCUCAGCAAAACCUGUGCUUCAGGUCUCCAUCUGUGCAAGGGCAAUCAUUAGACUUUGCUACCACGCCAAGCAAGGUGGCUUCACCAGAGACUGUAAGAAGCAGAGGUAUUUCUGUCCCCUGGGGCACCCAAAUACAGUAGGCGGGCUGCUUCACACUGCUGCGUCCUGGGACGCGCUCAAGCCUGUCCUAUGGGGACAGACAGACCAAGUCAGGUAGCAGAACAGUUGAGGUCGGCUCAAGGCUUGCUGAAAACUCCUGGGUGAGCCAAGUCCAAACGGGAUCCCUCAGAGAGCGGAGAGCAGACCCAAGGGAGUCAGAGACUGCCUGCUCACUCUUCCCUAUGUGAGUUGAUUUUUUUGAGGCACUCAAACAUGUUUUUACUUCCUUCAGUUUCCUGUGCGAAGUGAAGAUGUCUGGCAUUCGCUGACACUGCUGGCUGCUGCUUCACUGAACUGGGAUUCAUUUUGUGAUCAGUUUUGCAAGCCUGAGGAAAAGCGGUAUUGUGCAUUGACCUGCUCCUGCUGCUUUUCAGGUGCAGCAGAAACAUCCCUGAAGUUCAGCAGUGGUGCUUUUUGGUGGCACCAGAGCCUUGGACCACUGCCUGGAGCAGCUGGAGGUGGUGCAAGUCCACCCCAAGAGGAGUGAGACCACAAUUUCUCCUCAGCAUAGUUGCCUGCUGCAAAACCACAAAAGGGGAAAGUCUGUAACUUGCAGUAUUUCUGCUCCAUCUCUUAAAGAAGGAAUUACUCAAACCCAUUAAAAAAUGUUACAGAGGUAAAACUAUCUAGCUCAUUGGCCUUUUCAUUUCCUACUCUAACAACUCUUUUUCUUUUUUUUUUAAAGAAAGCUAACACCACUAGGUGAUCACUUGUGAAUUUUUGCAUUUUCAUGGAACAUGCAUGCAAAAAGCCCAGCUGACGAUGAUUUCCAUCACAAGAUGCAUGCCAGCUUUUGUCUGCCUCUUCACAGAGAAAUUGGAUGCCUUUUUCGAAGAGGCGUUUUAAUUGGAUGGAAAUUACCGGACUCACACGGGGGCAAAUAGUUCAAACCUGUGGCCUGUAUCAUGCAGGCUUUUUGGGUCCAUGUUGAAGAACCCAUGGAUAGCCGGAGAGGGAGCCUGUUUCGUAGUCCAACAGUGGCUUCAGUUGAACUGCAACUCAGUAAUGAAGGAGGAAAAACACUCGCAGCACUCACCAUACUCUUAGCCCUUAUGGCUCCUAGGUUGAAAAAGGUUUCCUUCUGUGGACUGCAGGCCCAAAGCCAUCCUCACAGGUGCGAGGAGAAUGGAAUACCGUGCCAAUCCUUGGAGAUGUAUGUUUGACCCAGAAGCAUAGAUCCCUGUAUCGCACCCAGUACUAGCAAGUACCAGUCUAAGGACAGGUGAGUGCAAGAUGCUGCGUCACCUGGGAAGAAGCUACUUGAAGGUCAGCUGCUGCACGGUGAUCUCUGCGUGCAGGCUUUCCGGUCUAUGGGAGGCACGCGUAGGGUCCGCAUCCCACACAGCUGGCUCAUGAAGACAAGAGGAAGCUGCAGUAAGCCCCAAAAAGUUGCUUGGAUGGCAUGUCUUGCGCUGUCUGCUUUAUGGAAGAAAGGUGGAGAACAAAACUCCCCAGCGAGUAAAGUAACAGGACAGAAACACUGCUCCUGCAGUGUUGUGGUGUGCUUCUGUAGCAAGCAGCAGUUUAUAAAGCACUUGAUGAUACUCUAGUAGAAACAGGAAUUUUUCAACGCCUUAGAUGGGAAAGGGACUAAGACCAUAAUAGUAAGUUGAUUUACGUAUCUCAGAGUAAAUGUAAGAACUGCCUUUAGCACUGUAACACUUGUCUGCCUUGCUUAGGUAUUCUGAAGGAAAAAAGAAAUAGCUGAGAUGCUGCUUUUCUGCAGUGCCUCCCUAGGAUGCCAGAGCAAGCUUUCUCAGUAAGUUGUUAACGUAGGAUGAAAAGCAGCAUCUUUCUUUCUGAGAGACCAGGCUGUAUUUAUUUCCCUUAAUGCUGUCCAGCAAAGCUACCUGUAGUGUACUUGAGCUAUGUGACCACUG